rnacentral:ncRNA from 1 species
UAAAAAUUUUAUCUCAGUUUGGAAGUUGGACUUUUAAAUCAUGUGUAUACGUAAACCAAAUUGAAUUAAAAAUAAAGAGUAACACUCAAUAUUUAUUAAAUUAAGGAAACUUAAUAAAAGGAUUUAAAUUAAAAAUUAACUAAAUAAGUGCCAGCAGUUGCGGUUAUACUUAUAAUUAAUCAAUUAGGUUCAUCCAGGUUAUAUGAAAUACUUCAAGACAAAACAUUAAAAUAAUAAGUGGAAUUUUAUUUUAACAACAACUUCAAAGAAUAGCAACCAAAAAAAUUGACAAAAAACUAGGAUUAGAUACCCUAUUAUUAAUUAAGAAAAAAGAGAUGAAGUAGUAAAAGAAAAAUCUUCAAACUUAAGAGAUUUGGCGGUAACUUAAACUAAUCAGAGGAAUCUGUAACAUUAUUGACAGUCCGCGAAUAAUUCAACCUUGAUAAAAAGUCUAUAUAUCGCUGUAAAAUGCAUCAUAGAAAUGAAUGCAUAAAAUAUCGAAGGAUAGAAAAUCAAGUCAACACAUAACUCAACAAGGAAGUAUAUGGAUUACAUUUAGUUAAAGUUAUAGGAUAGACCAAAAUAUGGAUACUGAAAAAGGAUUUGACAGUAAGUUGAGAAUAUUGCUCAGCUGAACUAGAAAUGAGUUAUGUACAAAUCGCCCGUCACUCUUAAGUAAAUUAAGACAAGUCGUAACAAAGUAAGCUUACUGGAAAGUAAGCUUAGAGUUCA